GAUGAAGAACGUAGCGAAAUGCGAUAAGUAGUGUGAAUUGCAGAAUUCAGUGAAUCAUCGAAUCUUUGAACGCACAUUGCGCCCCUUGGUAUUCCGGGGGGCAUGCCUCUUCCAGCGUCAUUUCACCCGUCAAGCUCUGCUUGGUUUUGGGCCGCGCCGGCAACGGCGGGCCUCGAAAAUAGUGGCGACGCCAUCGUGCUCUCAGCGUAGUAAUUCUUCUCGCUGUUGGGUCCCGGUGGUCGUCCGCCAGCAACCCCCAACUUUCUUAAGUUUGACCUGGGAUGAGGUAGGGAUACCCGCUGAACUUAAGCAUAUCAAUAAGCGGAGGA
rnacentral:misc_RNA from 1 species